rnacentral:rRNA from 1 species
AUUGAACGCUGGCGGCAGGCCUAACACAUGCAAGUCGAACGGUAGCAGGAAGAAGCUUGCUUCUUUGCUGACGAGUGGCGGACGGGUGAGUAAUGUCUGGGAAACUGCCUGAUGGAGGGGGAUAACUACUGGAAACGGUAGCUAAUACCGCAUAACGUCGCAAGACCAAAGAGGGGGACCUUCGGGCCUCUUGCCAUCAGAUGUGCCCAGAUGGGAUUAGCUAGUAGGUGGGGUAACGGCUCACCUAGGCGACGAUCCCUAGCUGGUCUGAGAGGAUGACCAGCCACACUGGAACUGAGACACGGUCCAGACUCCUACGGGAGGCAGCAGUGGGGAAUAUUGCACAAUGGGCGCAAGCCUGAUGCAGCCAUGCCGCGUGUGUGAAGAAGGCCUUCGGGUUGUAAAGCACUUUCAGCGGGGAGGAAGGGGGAAUGGUUAAUAACCAUUGCCAUUGACGUUACCCGCAGAGGAAGCACCGGCUAACUCCGUGCCAGCAGCCGCAGUAA